rnacentral:lncRNA from 1 species
CAAUCCAUGUCCCUCAAGAUUUCAACAUUCCCACAAAGUGUCCAAGGUUAACGCUUAAACAUGCAACAACAAGAUAAUACAAUUUAAUCCGAUCAGACCCAGUUCUCCGCUAGGAGCGAGCUUCCUAAUGUAAUCGCCUUUACAAUCAAAUCACAUUCAUUCUCUUCGCUUCUCUUUUUUUUUUUUUUUUUUUUUUUUUUUUUUUUUUU